rnacentral:rRNA from 1 species
UACGAAGGGGGCUAGCGUUGCUCGGAAUCACUGGGCGUAAAGCGCACGUAGGCGGAUUGUUAAGUCAGGGGUGAAAUCCUGGAGCUCAACUCCAGAACUGCCUUUGAUACUGACGGUCUUGAGUUCGGGAGAGGUGAGUGGAACUGCGAGUGUAGAGGUGAAAUUCGUAGAUAUCGGGAGGAACACCAGUGGCGAAGGCGGGCACCUGGGCUAACACUGACGCUGAUGCGCGAAAGCUAGGGGAGCAAACAGG